UACCACUAGCCGUUUUGGUGUGUUACGUUUUGGUUGGCUUUGAAUCUCUUUUUUGGGCUACAAACUAUUUUUAGAACAGCUUGAGUGUUUUGACCUUGAGCAAAGAGUGUCCUAGUGCACCUUGAGUGUUGGGUUUUGUAUACAAGAAGCACCUCACUUCAUAUUCUAGUUGUUUUUGGUUUUGUUCAUUUAUCCUUGUGCCUUUUCAUUACUACCUCUAUUUUGUGCACUUAACCUUUAUUGACAGUCCUAUUUUCUUGCUAUUCUUUUAAAUCAUUCUUAGUUUUGUCAAUCAGUUCUUGCUUUCUUUUUUAGCCUCCCUUAUCGGUUUUGUGGUUAUUUAUGUGGGGGUUCUCUUUUGAGGUGAACCAAAGCUUUGAGGUAGCAUCUUAGGAGGUGGAGACUUAGAUGGAGCUUGAAAUCAUGGAAGGAAAGAAGAAGAAAGUGAGAGAAAGACUUGGAGAGGAGUAGCACCACUUUGUUUGAAGUCGCAUAUCUCUUUAUUUGAGUUGUAUUUUGAUUCUUUGUUUUAUUUUAUAAACUUGGACUAAUUAGGUGUCUUGGGAGGACUUUUGUUGUUCAAUCUCAUAUCCUUAUUUCUUAUACUUCAUCAUUUUUAGUUAGUGAGAGUUUUGAAGGUUCUAAAUGCCUUUUAACCUUAUUAGGUCACAUAGUCUAUUUACAAUUUUACAAAAACUACAACUACAAUAGUCUACUCCUGGUUAGAUUUGUGAUAGAGUUAAUUGGUCAGUCCUUUGAUUUUCUACACUGGCUUCAUCUAAUAAGCAUCAACCAACGAAGCUUCAAA
rnacentral:lncRNA from 1 species